rnacentral:other from 1 species
CUCUCUCUGCCGUGCCCGUGAAGGUUAUUAACGCCCCUGCGGAAUAAUUUAUUGUACGGGAGCCUGUUUCGACCGUGGUGAGCUGCCCCAUUGCGCGGGAAUUGCCUAAAGCGGUCUACAGGAGCCCACCUGAAUGGGAACUCGCUGUGAGGCCCCCCAACCGAACGACAGGGCGGAGAGAGC